GUGAAUCAUCGAAUCUUUGAACGCACAUUGCGCCUUCCGGUAUUCCGGGAGGCACGCCUGUUUGAGCGUCAGUGAACACCUUCCGCCCCGCGGUUUUUUUCGGAACCGCGGGUGCGGGUGCUUGGCGAGGGAUCGGUGGCGGCCGCUGCUCCGGCGCGGCAAUCCUUCCCCCGCUCAACCGCCGGAGAAAGCUAGCGGGCAGGCGCCCCCAUCGCGACGACUCGUAGAUCACCGUCUCCGUCGUACCGCGUUUGGGGAGCCCCCGGCCUAAAACCCGUGCAGCCCGUUCACCGGCCACUGAAUCUUGACCUCAAAUCAGGCGAGGAUACCCGCUGAACUUAAGCAUAUCAAUAAGGCGAGG
rnacentral:rRNA from 1 species